rnacentral:rRNA from 1 species
GACGAACGCUGGCGGCGUGCCUAAUACAUGCAAGUUGAGCGCUGAAGGUUGGUACUUGUACCAACUGGAUGAGCAGCGCACGGGUGAGUAACGCGUGGGGAAUCUGCCUUUGAGCGGGGGACAACAUUUGGAAACGAAUGCUAAUACCGCAUAAAAACUUUAAACACAAGUUUUAAGUUUGAAAGAUGCAAUUGCAUCACUCAAAGAUGAUCCCGCGUUGUAUUAGCUAGUUGGUGAGGUAAAGGCUCACCAAGGCGAUGAUACAUAGCCGACCUGAGAGGGUGAUCGGCCACAUUGGGACUGAGACACGGCCCAAACUCCUACGGGAGGCAGCAGUAGGGAAUCUUCGGCAAUGGACGAAAGUCUGACCGAGCAACGCCGCGUGAGUGAAGAAGGUUGUCGGAUCGUAAAACUCGGUUGGUAGAGAAGAACGUUGGUGAGAGUGGAAAGCUCAUCAAGUGACGGUAACUACCCAGAAAGGGACGGCUAACUACGUG